GACGGGGGGGGCAAGUGUUCUUCGGAAUGACUGGGCGUAAAGGGCACGUAGGCGGUGAAUCGGGUUGAAAGUGAAAGUCGCCAAAAAGUGGCGGAAUGCUCUCGAAACCAAUUCACUUGAGUGAGACAGAGGAGAGUGGAAUUUCGUGUGUAGGGGUGAAAUCCGUAAAUAUACGAAGGAACGCCAAAAGCGAAGGCAGCUCUCUGGGCUCC
rnacentral:rRNA from 1 species